GUCUCAGUAGCUCAAUUGGAUAGAGCAUCCCCCUCCUAAGGGGAAGGUUGCAGGUUCGACCCCCGCCUGGGACACCA
rnacentral:tRNA from 1 species